CCGCAUUCUGAAGGAACUGGCUCAGUGUUCCAACUCCAGUAGAACCCUUGAAGUAAUGAACUCAUUUCCUUGUGCAACUACAGGAGAACCAACACCACCAUUUUUACCUUCCCCAUUGUCCAGGGAACUCACACUCUCCUUCCAGGCAAACUGCGAUUUCCUGUCACUUCAUGCCUGUUAUAUAGCUAAACCCCGCCUUAAUCCUGACACAGAGGAAGAAACUACAGCUAAUCUGCUUGGAACAGAGAAACAUCAAUGUUGAUUAGCGUGAUGGAAGCUGGCAAGAACAGAGUACCAGAGCAAGGAGAAGAUCAGACUCACAGACCCACAUCACCGAUUCCCUGCCAUUUAUUAUAUCCAGUACCCAGUCCAGCAGGAGGUCACACUAAUUAAAUUGCAGUGAUCUGUGAAGAGGAGAAAGAAAGGAGUAAGCAUCAGCUGUGAAAGAACAAGUUUGGAACUCUCAUUAGCUCCACGCUAUAGGAACUGACCCACAUUUUGGUUUAAUUUCUGGCCUCUUGAAUUUUCAAAAUUUUCACUAAUUGAUCCCAUUUCCCUGUUCUUUUUUAAUUUUUGCUUCUUCAUUGCCUUCGCCCUUAUUUCUCUUUGAAGGAGGUUAAUUUCAGAUUACAGCGUGAAGAAAUCCACUACCAUUCAUUAUCAGCCUGUUGUACACUUCCCUCCCCAUUUACACCAUUGGCUCCAUUGCCUUAAGCUUCCUCUAAAAUUGUUACAUCAAAUUACACACCAUGAACAGGCAGCGAUCCUUCACAAGGCCCAAAUAUCCAUGCUGGUCUUUUACUCCACGCUAGCUUCUUCAUUUCGUCCCCUCAACCUGACCUUCUUUCAUGUCUCCUUCUUGUGUUUAUCCAGCUUCCUUUUAAAUGUAUCUAUGCACCAUAUUUGAACUAUUCCUCUCAGUAGUAAGAUCUAUGUUCUAACUAACACCUGGGUGAAGAGGUUUCUCCUAAAUUCCCUCUGGGUUCAUUCAUGUUUGUGUUAUAUUUAAGAACUUCAUUUGUGGUCUACUCAACAACCGCAAAUAUCUAGAGAAACAUAGGACUGCAGAUGCUGAAAUCUAGAUGGAAAAUACAAUGAUGCUGGAGGAACUCAGC